GAUGAACGCUAGCUACAGGCUUAACACAUGCAAGUCGAGGGGUAACGAGAGGGAAGCUUGCUUUCCUUGUCGACGACCGGCGCACGGGUGAGUAACGCGUAUCCAACCUGCCCCCAACUAGGGAAUAACCUUGCGAAAGUAAGACUAAUACCCUAUAAUUUCCUCAGAUGACAUCUGACGAGGAAUAAAGAUUUAUCGGUUGUGGAUGGGGAUGCGUCUGAUUAGCUUGUUGGCGGGGUAACGGCCCACCAAGGCAACGAUCAGUAGGGGUUCUAAGGGGAAGGUCCCCCCCAUUGGAACUGGGACACGGUCCAAACUCCUACGGGAGGCAGCAGUGAGGAAUAUUGGUCAAUGGGCGGAAGCCUGAACCAGCCAAGUAGCGUGCAGGAUGACGGCCCUAUGGGUUGUAAACUGCUUUUAUACAGGAAUAAAGUUAGCCACGUGUGGUUAUUUGUAGGUACUGUAUGAAUAAGGACCGGCUAAUUCCGUGCCAGCAGCCGCCGUAA
rnacentral:rRNA from 1 species